rnacentral:rRNA from 1 species
AUUGAACGCUGGCGGCAUGCCUUACACAUGCAAGUCGAACGGCAGCACGGGGCAACCUGGUGGCGAGUGGCGAACGGGUGAGUAAUGCAUCGGAACGUACCUUUCAGUGGGGGAUAACGUAGCGAAAGUUACGCUAAUACCGCAUAUUCUGUGAGCAGGAAAGCAGGGGAUCGCAAGACCUUGCGCUGAUUGAGCGGCCGAUGUCAGAUUAGCUAGUUGGUGAGGUAAAGGCUCACCAAGGCGACGAUCUGUAGCGGGUCUGAGAGGAUGAUCCGUCACACUGGAACUGAGACACGGUCCAGACUCCUACGGGAGGCAGCAGUGGGGAAUUUUGGACAAUGGGGGAAACCCUGAUCCAGCCAUGCCGCGUGAGUGAAGAAGGCCUUCGGGUUGUAAAGCGCUUUCGGCCGGGAAGAAAUCGCACGGGCUAAUACCCUGUGUGGAUGACGGUACCGGAAUAAGAAGCACCGGCUAACUACGUGCCAGCAGCCGCGGUAAGAC